AAAGAAGUAAGCAAGGGCAAACGGAGGAUGCCUUGGCUCUCGGAGGCGACGAAGGACGUGAUAAGCUGCGAAAAGCUGCGGGGAGGUGCAAAUAACCUUUGAUCCGUGGAUAUCCGAAUGGGGCAACCCGUUGAGUUGAAGACUCAACAUUCUUUUAUUAAGAAGGCGAACGUGGGGAACUGAAACAUCUCAUUACCCAUAGGAGGAGAAAAUAACAAUGAUUUCGCAAGUAGUGGCGAGCGAACGCGAAAGAGCCCAAACCUAUGUUGUUUAGGCGAUAUAGGGGUUGUAGGACUGCGAUAUAAGAUGAUGAAUUGAAUCAGAAUCGUAAUGGAAAAUUGAGCGAGACAAGGUGAAAGCCCUGUAUGAGUAAGAUUCAUUGUUUUUAGCAGUAUCCUGAGUAGCGCGGGACACGAGAAAUCCUGUGUGAAUCAGCGGGGACCAUCCCGUAAGGCUAAAUACUCCCGAGAGACCGAUAGUGGACAAGUACCGUGAGGGAAAGGUGAAAAGAACCUCGAACAGAGGAGUGAAAUAGAACCUGAAACCGUUUGCUUACAAGCGGUCGGAGCACUUUUUUAGGUGUGACGGCGUGCCUUUUGCAUAAUGAACCUACGAGUUACUGUCACCAGCGAGAUUAAGUGUUUUAGGCACGUAGUCGAAGGGAAACCGAGUCUUAACAGGGCGGAUAGUUGGUGGUAGUAGACGCGAAACCAAGUGAUCUACCCUUGAGCAGGUUGAAGUUGCCGUAACAGGUAAUGGAGGACCGAACCAGUUGACGUUGAAAAGUCUUUGGAUGACUUGAGGGUAGGGGUGAAAGGCUAAUCAAACUUGGAGAUAGCUCGUACUCCCCGAAAUGCAUUUAGGUGCAGCGUGCAAAAAGUUUAACAGAGGUAGAGCGACUGAUUGGAUGCGAGGCUUUCACCGGCUAUCAAGUUCAGACAAACUCCGAAUGCUGUUAAAUGUUUUUGUGCAGUGAGGGCACGGGUGCUAAGGUCCGUGUCCGAGAGGAGAAGAAUCCAGACCAUCAGCUAAGGUCCCGAAAUAAUAGCUAAGUUGAACUAACGAAGUCGAACUGCAUAGACAGCUAGGAUGUUGGCUUGGAAGCAGCCAUUCAUUUAAAGAGUGCGUAACAGCUCACUAGUCGAGCGGUUUGGCGUGGAUAAUAAUCGGGCAUAAGCUAUUUACCGAAGCUGUGGAAUAUAAUAUAUUGGUAGGGGGGCAUUCCAUAUUCGUUGAAGAUAGAGGGUUACCUUUAUUGGAGGGUAUGGAAAAGCAAAUGUAGGUAUAAGUAACGAUAAGGAGGGCGCGAACCCCUCCCGCCGGAAGACUGAGGGUUCCUGAACAACGUUAAUCGGUUCAGGGUUAGUCGGGACCUAAGGAAUAGCCGAAAGGCGCAUCUGAUGGAAGAACAGGUUAAUAAUCCUGUACUGGCGUAUGGAGCGAAGUGGGGACGGAGAAGUGAAAGUCCUGCGUACUGACGGAAUAGUACGUUGAAGGGUGUAGGUGUAGAUAUUCGUAGGCAAAUCCGCGGAUAGAGCCGAACCUGAAAGUACCGAGCGUCUUCGGACAAUCGGAUAUGGAUGUAAUCAGACUCCCUAGAAAAACCGCUAAGCAUAUUCAUACGGCACCCGUACCAUAAACGGACACACGUGGUCAAGUAUAAAGUAUUAAGGCGCUCGAGUGAUCCGCGGCUAAGGAACUAGGCAAAAUAGUCCUGUAACUUCGGAAAAAGGGACACCUACCCAGUGAUGGGAGGUCGCAGAAGAAUGGCCCAGGCGACUGUUUAACAAAAACAUAGGGCUUUGCCAAAUCGCAAGAUGAAGUAUAAGGCCUGACACCUGCCCGGUGCUGGAAGGUUAAGAGGAGAUGUCAUCGCAAGAGAAGCAUUGAAUUGAAGCCCCAGUAAACGGCGGCCGUAACUAUAACGGUCCUAAGGUAGCGAAAUUCCUUGUCGGGUAAGUUCCGACCUGCACGAAUGGUGUAACGAUCUGGGCACUGUCUCAGCCGCGAGCUCGGUGAAAUUGUAGUAUCGGUGAAGAUGCCGAUUACCCGCAACGGGACGAAAAGACCCCGUGAACCUUUACUGCAACUUAACAUUGAAUUUGGGUAAUUGAUGUGUAGGAUAGGCCGGAGGCUAUGAAGCAGGUACGCCAGUAUUUGUGGAGCCGUUGUUGAAAUACGGUCCUUCAGUUAUUUGAGUUCUAACCCGUAGAAAUGGGGACACUGUUUGGUGGGUAGUUUGACUGGGGUGGUCGCCUCCAAAAGAGUAACGGAGGCUUCCAAAGGUACCCUCAGGCCGAUUGGUAACCGGUCGCAGAGUGUAAUGGUAUAAGGGUGCUUGACUGCGAGACAAACAAGUCGAACAGGUAGGAAACUAGGGCAUAGUGAUCCGGUGGUUCCGCAUGGAAGGGCCAUCGCUCAAAGGAUAAAAGGUACUCCGGGGAUAACAGGCUGAUCGCCGCCAAGAGCUCAUAUCGACGCGGCGGUUUGGCACCUCGAUGUCGGCUCGUCACAUCCUGGGGCUGGAGAAGGUCCCAAGGGUUGGGCUGUUCGCCCAUUAAAGUGGCACGCGAGCUGGGUUCAGAACGUCGUGAGACAGUUCGGUCUCUAUCUGUUGUGGGCGUUGGAAAUUUGAGGAGAGCUGACACUAGUACGAGAGGACCGUGUUGGACGUACCGCUGGUAUAUCGGUUGUUUUGCCAAGGGCAUAGCCGAGUAUCUACGUACGGAUUAGGAUAAGCGCUGAAAGCAUCUAAGCGCGAAGCCAACUUCGAGAUUAGAUUUCCUUAUAGGGUCGUUGAAGAUUACGACGUUGAUAGGCUGCAGAUGUAAAGUCAGAGAUGGCAAAGUCGAGCAGUACUAAUUGCCCGAACACUUCUUUUA
rfam:Bacteroidetes oral taxon 274 str. F0058 genomic scaffold supercont1.3, whole genome shotgun sequence.